rnacentral:rRNA from 1 species
GAGUAAUGCAUGGAUAACCUGCCUUAAAGAGGGAAAUAACCCGCCGAAAGGCGGACUAAUGUCCCAUAAGGCCACGGAUACGCAUGUGUCAGUGGUUAAAGGCUUCGGUGUUGAACCGAGGCGCUUCAAGAAGGGUCCAUGUCCUAUCAGCUAGUUGGCGCGGUAAAGGCGCACCAAGGCUGAGACGGGUAGCCGGCCUAAGAGGGUGACGGCCACAAUGGGAUUGAGAAACGGCCCAUACUCCUACGGGAGGCAGCAGUAAGGAAUUUUCCACAAUGCCCGAAAGGGUGAUGGAGCGACGCCGCGUGGGUGAUGAAGGUCUUCGGAUUGUAAAACCCUUUUGUAAAGGAUGAACCUACAGUACUUUACGAAUAAGCUUCGGCCAACUCUGUGCCAGCAGCCGCGGUAAGACAGAGGAAGCAAGCAUUAUCCGGAAUGACUGGGUGUAAAAUGUGUGUAGGUGGUUAAAUAAGUCAAAUGUGAAAUCCCGAUGCUUAACAUCGGAACCGCAUUUGAUACUGUUUUAUCUUGAGUUCGAGCGAGGAGAGCGGAAUUCCCGGUGGAGCGGUGAAAUGCGUUGAGAUCGGGAGGAACACCAAUGGCGAAGGCAGCUUUCUAGCUCGAAACUGACACUGAGGCACGAAAGCUAGGGGAGCAAACAGGAUUAGAUACCCCUGGUAGUCCUAGCUGUAAACUAUGGAUACUGGGUGUGGGUUCUUAAUGAAUCCGCGCCGAAGUUAACGCGUUAAGUAUCCUACCUGGGGAGUACAGUCGCAAGACCGAAACUCAAAGGAAUUGACGGGGGCUCGCACAAGCGGUGGAACACGUGGUUUAAUUCGAUGCAAGCGAAGAACCUUACCGGGGUUUGACAUGCUGAUAGUACGAUCCCGAAAGGGAAAGGACCCGCCUUUGGCGGGAAUCAGCACAGGUGCUGCAUGGCUGUCGUCAGCUCGUGUCGUGAGAUGUUGGGUUAAGUCCCGUAACGAGCGCAACCCCUAUCUUUAGUUACCCCGAUUUAACGUCGGGGCUCCCUAAAGAAACUGCCUCAGAUAAUGGGGAGGAAGGCGGGGAUGACGUCAAGUCCGCAUGGCCCUUAUGUCCCGGGCUACACACGUGUUACAAUGGGGCCGACAGAGAGUCGCAAGCCGCAAGGUGGAGCUAAUCUCUAAACGGUUCUUAGUUCAGAUUGUAGGCU